AAGUCGUAACAAGGUUUCCGUAGGUGAACCUGCGGAAGGAUCAUUAAUGAAAUUUAUGACUGGAGUUGUAGCUGGCCCUUAAAAAACGGCAUGUGCACGCUCCUUUCACUAAUCCACACACACCUGUGCACCUUCGCGGGGGUCUUCUUUUCGGAGAAGGCUCGCGUCCCUUUACACACCCUUUGUAUGUCUUAAGAAUGUCUACUCGAUGUAAUAAAACGCAUCUAAUACAACUUUCAACAACGGAUCUCUUGGCUCUC
rnacentral:misc_RNA from 1 species